UCGUGGUGGCGCGCGAGCGAGAAUAAUAUUCCGGGUCCCAGGACCGGACCCGGCACCAGCUGCCAACCUCUCAAGAUCGAUACACGCCGUUGUUAUUGCGUCCGGAAAGCGAAUAUCGUUUAUCCGCAAAGGAAUAAACUCUCCGAUUUCAGGAUCUCUGCUGUGAAUCAACCUUAGAUAGUUCCGUGUUAUCCUCAAAAAGGAGUAAAUGCACUCGCGAACAGGAUGCUCAACGACGUAAUAUGAAGAUAUAUUUUGGUCCAUCAUCAAAGUACAAACGUCUCGAGCGAGACAGAAUGUGGCGUUCUGAAUCUGAGCCUCGGAUCCGGUAGCGUCACGAAACAGGACAAAGAUCCUUCGGCUUACGUUUAUCCGUUUACCCGGUGACUCUAUCCACCUAGUUUUGCCGCAGCUUUUACUUGUUUUAAGAAAAGCACGACGUGACCUGCCGCAAUCCUCUCUCGCGUAUCCCAGUCACAUAGGCUCCUGCGUACCGACUGCGGACCAAUCUCUUCUCGGAGACGGCUGCUCGGAAUAUUCUGCGAGACGAUUUUCAGAUACGUAUUACACCCUCCGGGAAGAUCCUCUCGACGUGCCUCGAGAAUUUCUCCAUCCAUUUUUACUUACUGCAACCAGACCAAAGUCUGAUCACAGAUGGGUAUCUUGCCUUUAACUCCUUCAGAUUACUUCGAACUAGACGCGAGCAUUCAUUUGCAAGAUACACGUGGUCCGUUAUCGAUUGUAUUGGAUUGACAAUAUAGGGCGCACACUACGCAUCAUCGAUUUCGAGUGUGUUAACAUGUCAAUUGUCGUAUCAGUUAAUUCAGAUCGCAGCCGAUUAUUGUUAUCGUAGAUACUCCAACUUUGAUAAGAGUACGCGUUCCGCAAUCUGUCAAUUACCUCGAAAGCGCUUAUCGAUUACAAUAAAGAAAAGUUUUGACAUGCUAGUAUUCCAUUCCCCACCGAGUACCUCAAUUUAACGCGCAAUUGAUGACACGUGAUUACAUAAUUUAGCAUUGACUCAUGUGGCUCGUUUCCCCUGGUAUGCAGUACGUCGUUGCAGCUUGCAGUUCGUGAAUAAUAUAGCCUUUCUGCGUUUGAAAAAAUAUCGCACGACGUAGAUCGAACGCAAUUAAAGACGCGCUUCGAUUAAUUGAUCGUGACGUAAGCUUCGAAUUGGUGAUAAAAUAAUUUUGAAAUCAGGCGAUAAACGACAGAGAAUUAUGGAACGGUGGGCUGGUAAAAAUGCGGUUGUUACCGGUGCUGCAUCCGGUAUCGGGGAAGCAAUUACAGCUGCUCUGUUGAAGAACAAAGGGAACGUGGUGGCUUUGGACAUACGAUUCGAGGAAUUGCUCCUCGCUGCUCGUAAAUGGGAACAAAUCAAACACCGUGGAAACAUUCGAUGUAUGUACUGCGAUGUAAGCGAGCCGACCAAUUUGGAGGAGGUUUUCUCCACCAUAGAAAGGGAAUGGAAAGGAGUGGAUAUUAUGGUAAACAAUGCGGGGAUAGUCGACUACACGCGCGUUAUUGAGAGCGACAGGGAGACGUUUCAAAGGCUGUUAAAUAUUAAUGUCCUCGCGACCUCCAUGUGCAUCAAUUGGGCGGUGCGCUCGAUGCGCCAGCGGAACGUCGAAGGGCAUAUUUUCAAUAUCAACAGCGUGCUGGGACACGAAAUUCCGAGCGGAUCCCUUUCGGAAAUCGAUGGCUGUAAUGGCUGGAACCUGUACCCGACUUGCAAACACGGAACUGUUGCAUUAACGCAUACGGUGCGGCGGGAAUUGGCGGCCAUUAAAGCACCGAUUCGAAUCACCAGUAUCUCUCCUGGCAUAGUGGACACCGGUAUAGCCAAACAUGUUUCUCAAUUAACGGAUGUUCUGAAAAAAAUUCCCGCACUUCGACCAGAAGACGUCGCGGAUGCACUGAUUUAUGCCCUCGGUUCUCGACCUGAAGUACAAGUACGGACCGACGGUAGCAUCGAACCGGAAAGAAAACGGAUUUCCAUUGGCUCGACCUAAAUUCAGAAUGCAGAAGGCUACCAGUUCCUGGAAACUUAGAAACAGUGUAUCGUCCAAAGGUCGGUGGUUUAUGAUAUUACUUGGCAAGUUUCAGAGUUAAACGUUUCAAACUCUGUACGUUUCAUGUAAGCAACAAACACAAUCGAGACGGUGCGCUGGUGGAAAUGUCAGCCGGUAAGAAAUGCACGCAGCUGCACGUAACAGGAGGCUUUUUCAUCGAUUACGAACAAGAAGCGGCGUAACUGUCUGCCGAUCGUCAAUGAGUGGCAAAGAAUCGACUAGAGACAAUCAUUCUUUUUAAAGAAUGUGAUUUUAUUAGAAACGUUUCCAAAGAAUCGAU